UGUAUCAAAGAUUUGCUCAAAGAUUAAAGAUUAGCUUUACUUGUCAAAUGUACAUAGAAACAUGCAGUGAAAUAUAUAUCAUUUGUGUCAAAUCAACGAGGAUUGCGCUGGGAGCAGCCUGCAAGUGUUGGCACAUUGCAUGCCCACAAUUCUUUCUUGACAUUACUGAAGGUCAUAUGUAUUGGCUAUUGAAGCACAGAUUUGUUUGAAUAACCUUCUCAGGCAGUUGGUGAUGUGAUGUGCUUGGAACUGAGGAGGGGGGAGCUGUUCCAUGUCUUGCCCCUAAACAUUUGCUGGAUAGAUUAGUUUCUUGCCUGAAGACAUUUAAGUGUUAAUCUACAUAUCCAAAGAGAUUGAUCAAAUUAAUGUGUCAUCUUUGACUGUCCUCUAUACAACUGCCAAGGCUCUUGGAUUCUCACCUUAAUCCUAACCUCUUGGAGUUUUCCGUCUCCAACCAAAGGCCUCUGAUGACACAUUAACCAUCAAGCAUCUGUUUACACUAAUCCCAACAUUGUCCACUAUCCCACCCCCAAACUCUCCCAUUUAUCCACACCCUAGCGACAAUUUAGAGAGGCCAAUUAACCUACCAACCUAUAUAUCUUUCGAAUGUCAGAGAAACGGAGCAGAACAACCCAUGGAGUCACAGGGAGAACAUGCAAACGCCACAUAAACAGCCAGUUGUCAGGGCUAAACCCAGGUCACUGGAUCAGUGAGACAGUAAUUCUUACAGUCAUCACAUCUCCCUUUAACUCGAUACUGCUUGACUGUCAGCAUUUGAUAUUUUUCUUUCAAAUCUAGCAUUUGCAGUUUUUCUUUCAACAUUUGUGCUUUAGUAUGUUGCUACAUUAACAGUCCUACAAAGUGGUUUGGAUGACGUUUCUACGUUCUAAAGUCAUUGUGUAAAUUAAUUUUUUAAAAAAGAGCUCCUUGCCCUAAUUUUAGAUGUCAAUAUGUUCAUGCAAUCUGGUUGUAGCUUGAACUCCAGCGAUGCGGAUUUGCCCCUGGAUUUCGCUCCGGUGAACAGUUUACAAGUCUGAAAUGUUGCCAUAACAGAGUUCCCACACAGCAGAAAAUGCUUGUGGCCACGACAAAUCCAUCCCACCGGUUUCCCAAAUGCUCAUUUGUAUAUAUGGGUUGUACAUCGGUCAGCUGUUCAUAAGCUAGGGAGAUCUGUAUUAGGAAUACAUUUAGUGGCUACAAUGUGAUUUUAUGACAGGGCCAAAAUUAACCAAGUUGUGUCAUUUAAUCUGGUGGUUUCUUGUGUUUGUAGGUUCAAUGAUCAGUUUGUUUUAAGAAAUUGUCCCUUACAUCUUUUAAAGGUAUUUGUCCUUUAAUAAUUAAGCCACCUGCUGAUUCAGCUUCAACCAGACGUGAAACAGCAGGUCAGUCAAAAGUUCCACCUUUAUGGCUAUUCACCCAAUGCAUUUUGUGGUCAAUUCCAGCCUAUAGUAAGGCCUGACUUGAGGCUAGGAUCAUCCAUCUGGUCCAACUGUGGGGACUACAUUGGAAGGAGGCUUGCUGUGGGGCACCUGCCUGUUUUGGAAAUCUAAUCUGUUGUGAUAAGCAGAGCUGUUUGAUCCAGUGAUAUGGGAAAAGGGUGAAGGAGUUCCCACAUAACAUAUUGAUGUCUUAAAGCAGAGAACUGGAAUUGUUCCUUAAGAAGAAUGAAGCAGUUUGCAGUUUUUCAGGACUCCCACUGUCUAAGCAGGGCCAUUACCAGCCUCGAAAGGCUGUUCUCUAUGAAGGUGAUGCCUUGUUUGCUGAAUUCCUUGGUGCAACCAAAUUAUCCCCUCUCCAGUGAAUGUGUUCUCUGCAAAAGCUUGCCCGUGCCAUUAAUGUUACAAAAAUAAACUCAAUAAAUGUCACCACCCUGAUGCUAUCCUGUGAUCUUGUAUAUUCUACAAAGUGUGGUAGAAAUGUAGUAACUUACUGUUAUACCCCAUUUACAGCAAAUGUAAGGCUUGCUGACUCAAAGCAACAUCUAAGGAUCCCCACUGUCUGGAUCGUCCCUCCUCUCAGUUACUUUCAAGCAGGAAGUACAGAAGCCUGAAAUCUCAUGCUACUGGGUUCAAGAACAGUUUUUCCUACGAUCGUCGGGUUUUCAAACCAACCUACUUUAGCAAUGGAAGAAAACAGUCCAUCUCUUGCACUACCAUGGACUUGUUUUUGUAUGUGAUUUUGAGCAUAAUAUCAUUGCUUUGCACAAUCUUUAUCUUCUAUAAUUUCUACUGUGUAUGUGAUGAAGCUGUUCCAAGGGAGUUUUUCAUUGUACCUGUAUGUUACUGUACAAAUUUGACUUGACUGUACAGCAAGAUCCCAUGGUCAUCAAAUGGUAUGCAGAUGACUGUGGAUAACCCAUUUCCAUCUCUCCCCAUCUGACAUUCAAAACAGUGCAAUGGAUAUCUUGAUGUUCUCCUUAGCAGACUUCAGGAUCUCAUCUAAAAAGUAUGUUCCUCUGUCGCAUUCACUCAGUUCACACCCCACUGGGAAAUACUUUUAAUAAUUUGCAAACUGAGCUGCUGAGUUUUUUCAAAGGCUGGCUUUAUCAAUAGAGCCUCUUAUUAACCAGGUGUACUUUCAGGUCUUGCAGUUAAUGGGGAGAUACACAAUGAAAAAGAACACAUAAGACUGCAUAGGAAUAGAGCUUAGAACAUAGAAAACCAAUAUAGACUCUUUGGCCGCCAGUGCUGUGCCGAACAUGUACUUAGUUUAGAAAUUACCUAGGGUUACCCAUCGCCGCCUAUUUUUCUAAGCUCCAUGUACCUAUUCAGGGGUCUCUCAAAAGACCCUAUUGUGUCUGCCUACACUACCGUGGCCAGCAGCCCAUUCCAUGCACUCACCACUCUGUGUAAAAAAUCUUACCCUGACAUCUCCUCUGUACCUAUUUCCAAGCACCUUAAAACUGUGCCCUCUUGUGCUAGCCAUUUCAGCCCUGGGGAAAAGCCUCUGACUAUCCCCACAAUCAAUGCCUCUCAUCAUCUUGUACACCUCUAUCAGGUCACCUCUCAGCCUCCAUUGCUCCUAGGACAAAAGGCUGAGUUCACUGGACCUAUACUUAUAAGGCAUGCUCCCCAACCCAGGCAACGUCCUAAGUCUACUCUGCACCCUUUCUAUAGUUUCCACAUCCUUCCUGUGACCAGAACUCAGCACAGUACUCCGGUGCACUGUAUGCCUCCUAGUGGAUUUGAGUGUCCUUUGAGCUGGGACCCCAAGAUCCCUCUGAUCCUCCAUAUUGCCAAGAGUCUUAACAUUAGUAUUAUAUUCUGCCAUCAUAUUUGACCUACCAAAAUGAACCACCUCACACUUACCUGGGUUGAACUCCAUCUGCCACUUUUCAGCCCAGUUUUAUAUCCUAUCGAUGUCCUGCUGUAACCUCUGACAGCUCUCCACACUAUCCACAACACCCCCAAUCUUUGUGUUAUUAAAUUUACUAACCUAUCCUUCCACUUCCUCAUCCAGGUCAUUUAUAAAAAUCACAAAGAAUAAGGGUCCCAGAACAGAUCCCUGAGGCACACCACUGGUGACUGAUCUCCAUGCAGAAUAAGACCCGUCUACAAUACUCCUUGCCUCCUGAGGGCAAGCCAAUUCUGGAUCCACAAAGCAAGGUCCCUUUGAUCCCAUACCUCCAUACUUUCUCAAUAAUCCUUGCAUAGGGUACGUUACCAAAUGCCUUGCUGAAAUCCAUACACUCUGCAUCUACUGCUGUACCUUCGUCAAUGUGUUUAGUCACAUCCACAAAAAAUUCAAUUAGGCUCAUAAGGCAUAAGCCUUUGACAAAGCUAUGCUGACUAUUCCUAAUCAUAUUAUUCCAAAUGUUCAUAAAUCCUGCCUCUCAGGAUCUUUCCAAUCAACUUAACAACCACUGAAGUAAGACUCACAGGUCUACAAUUCCAUGGGCUAUCUCUACUCACUUUCUUGAAUAAGGGAACAACAUCUGUAACCCUCCAAUCUUCUAGAACCUCUCCUGAACCCAGCAAUCUCCUCCCUCACCCUCCACAGUAGCCUGGGGUACAUCUUAUCUGGUCCUGAAGACUUAUCCAACUUGAUGCUUAGCAAAAGCUUCAGCACAUCCUCUUUCUUAAUGUCUAUAUGCUCAAGCUUUUCAAUCCGCUGUAAGUCAUCCCUACAAUUGCCAAGAUCCUUUUCCAUAGUGAAUUCUGAAGCAAAGUAUUCAGUAAUUACCUCUGUUAUCUUCUUGGUUCCAUACACACUUUUCCACUGUCACACUUGAUUGGUCCUAUUCUCUCAUGUUUUAUCCUCUUGCUCUUCACAUACUUGUAGAAUGCCUUGGGUUUUGUUUAUUCCUGCUUACCAAGGCCUUCUCAUGGCCCCUUCUGGCUCUCCUAAUUUCAUUCUUAAGCUCCUUCCUGCUAGCCUUAUAAUCUUAUAGAUCACUAUCAUUGCCUAGUUUUUUGAACCUUUCGUAAACUUUUCUUCUUGACUAGAUUUUCAACAGCCUUUGUACACCAUGAUUCUUGUACCCUCUCAUCCUUUCCUUUCUGGAGUAAGGGUUUAAAUCGGGUGGGCAAACUUUUUGACUCGUGGGCCACAAAGGGUUCUAAAAUUUGACAGUGGGGCCGGACCAGGAGCAGAUGGACGGAGUGUUUUGGUAAUACACCUCAUAAGAGAAAAUAAAAUAUCAUGGGAUAUGUAGAAAACAUGCGCUUUAAUUUCAAUUGAAAAUGAACAAAUGCAUUACAACAAAAUAUCUGUCUUUGAAGUCCCAUGGUAUUUAGCUAUUU